GGGGUUGUGGCUCAGUGGUAGAGCACUUGCCUCGAAAGCAUGAGGACAAUCCUC
rnacentral:tRNA from 1 species